AGUGAACGCUGGCGGUAGGCCUAACACAUGCAAGUCGAACGGCAGCACAGGAGAGCUUGCUCUCUGGGUGGCGAGUGGCGGACGGGUGAGGAAUACAUCGGAAUCUACUUUUUCGUGGGGGAUAACGUAGGGAAACUUACGCUAAUACCGCAUACGACCUACGGGUGAAAGCAGGGGAUCUUCGGACCUUGCGCGAUUGAAUGAGCCGAUGUCGGAUUAGCUAGUUGGCGGGGUAAAGGCCCACCAAGGCGACGAUCCGUAGCUGGUCUGAGAGAAUGGUCAGCCACACUGGAACUGAGACACGGUCCAGACUCCUACGGGAGGCAGCAGUGGUGAAUAUUGGACAAUGGGCGCAAGCCUGAUCCAGCCAUACCGCGUGGGUGAAGAAGGCCUUCGGGUUGUAAAGCCCUUUUGUUGGGAAAGAAAUCCAGCUGGUUAAUACCCGGUUGGGAUGACGGUACCCAAAGAAUAAGCACCGGCUAACUUCGUGCCAGCCGCCGCAGUAA
rnacentral:rRNA from 1 species